rnacentral:rRNA from 1 species
UACGUAGGGUGCAAGCGUUGUCCGGAAUUAUUGGGCGUAAAGAGCUCGUAGGUGGUUUGUUACGUCUGCUGUGAAAACCUAGGGCUUAACCCUGGGCUUGCAGUGGAUACGGGCAGACUAGAGGUAGGUAGGGGAGAAUGGAAUUCCUGGUGUAGCGGUGAAAUGCGCAGAUAUCAGGAGGAACACCGGUGGCGAAGGCGGGUCUCUGGGCCGAUACUGACGCUGAGGAGCGAAAGCGUGGGGAGCGAACAGG